UUCACUAAACUAGUUUUUAAAAAUUUUUUAAAAAAAAAAGUCUGAAAAUUCAACCUAACAGGACGUUCUGCACCAGAUCCUUCUCCUCUCUCUCUAUACGAAAUCCUUGAAAUCGUCUUUCUGAUGGAGAAAAUGAAGAUGAAGACGAAGUACAAACAAACCCUAAGACGAAGCAAGCAGAUGAACAAGACGAGAUUGCUGAAAUCGUCUGAAAUCCAUCACGCAUCUUGAAAUCCAGAGACUUGGUAAUGGUACCCUCACAGCGGGUAAACAUUAAAGCAGUGACAAUUGAAAUGGGUAAUGGUAAUUACGUACAACUACUUAACAUGGUAAUUACAUGAGCAGACCAUAUAUACAUAUUCCUGCAAGUGAUGGAGGAAAAUAUAGCAAAAAUGCAUAUUUAGAAGCCUAAUCAAUAUAUAUAUACAUAUAUAUAUAUAUAUGGAGGUACACUUCUCGUUUCAUCUCUCUCAAAAUCGAAUUUUUAUUUUGUUUCAAGCUUCUAUUAUGUGGAGAUGGUACUUUGUUUAUUCAUAAACAGUCUGAUUCAUCUAAUUACAUUUAUUACUUUGAUUGCAGCAACUAAUUUCGCUUGAACAGUAUACUCUUAUAGCACAAAUGGUUUUGAGCGAAUGUCAAACAUCUCUGUAGAGGACAGUUGAGGCACCUACAAAAACACCAAACAAAGCGUAGUAUUAGAUUCUGCUUAAAAAAAUCUAUGAAUAAACAUGAUUAUAUGAGGAUUUAAGUGUCUUAAAAAAAUUGAUUUUCAAGACGUAAAUUCUCACGAGAGGUUGGGGAUUCAAUUCUCCCUAGGUGCUAAUGUUUGUGUACACGUAACUGGGGGGGAAGCAAAGAAACUUGAUUGAUUUAGAAGGUAUCGGUUGCUGAAAUUGCAACACAAUUUCCUGCAGUGAUUUUUGAGCUUUUGUUUUAGGGUUUCUAGUGAUAAAUAAAUGGCCAUAGGAAAGAAAGAGAGAGUUGAUUAGGACAUAAUAGACUAGGGUUUUCAUGAGGCUAUUAUACUGUGAGUAGGAAAUAUCAUAUUUUUGUGGAAGAGAAAAAAGAAAAGAAGAUGAGGAAUAGAAAGGGGAAAAAUAUUCUAGGAACCCUAGCUAGAAUUUUGUUGGAAUGACCUCCUUAAGCUUGGGUUACAUGACAAAUAACACAAAUUCAAAUCUUUAAAACAGGAAGGUUAGAAUUUCCUAUUGCGGGUGAUGUUUUCCCUCUUAAAACUGUGAUUCUGCUGGUUUAGAGAAAGAAUUUUGUUAGAACCAUGUACUUGUCGAGAUUGAAUCACGUUACGAUUCAAACAUACAAAUCCCAAACAAAUAAAAAGAAAAGCACCCUAGGCAUAAGAAAAUUUGUAGAGAAGAUAUAUUUUACCUAGAUUUCAGCUCUCCUAUUAGAAAUUAAAGGAUGAGAAUUUGAUUGAUCUUUCCAUUUGGGUUGUAUAAGGAUUGAGGAGAAAAGAUAUAUGCUAUUAUUGGCAAUGAAUUAUUACUUCUAUAAUGAAAACUUACCAUUCUUAUGUUUAACAGUAGUGUAAUAAUGUUGACUUUUAAUAUAUAUAUUACUACUAAGCAACAAAAUUAUUUUUGUACAGUAUAUUUAUAUAUUUGCAUAUAAAUGCUCCCUUAGGUGCUCUCAACUUUAGACUCUUCUAUGUGCCCCUGCCCUGCCUGAACCUUGCCCUUGGUUCAUGCAACUAAGAUAGGAAGCUUUAGAAUCUUUUGAUUGUUGAAAAUAUUGUGGACCUAAUUACCAUAAAAUGUAAACAACCUGAAACCCAUGAACUACUACAGUUUAUGUCUAGCAAUUCCAAAAAUUAUCUAAAUGCUUCGGACUCCUGUAUUAAAAUCAAAUUAGCUGCAUAGUAACCUAAAACUAGUGCAAAAUGAGGGCCAAAUUAGACUUAUAGUUCAUUAGAUAAUGUCCACAAGCGCAAUAUGAAAUUGUAGUUUGGCCACUACUAUUGCUAGCACAUUCUUGAUCGAUGGGAUGGGACACUUGGAAGACGAUUUUUGAAUUGUUAUGGCUCAAAUUCCAUUCUUUUUAGGAGUUUCUUUUAAUUUAAUGUUUAUAUAUAGAAGAUUUUAACUUUGAAAAAUCAACUUCAUUUUGCCCAC